rnacentral:rRNA from 1 species
GACGAACGCUGGUGGCGCGCUUAACACAUGCAAGUCGAGCGAGAACCAGGCCUUCGGGCCUGGGGAAAGCGGCGAACGGGUGAGAAACACGUGGGCAACCCACCCUUGGUACCGGGAUAGCCCGGGGAAACCCGGAUUAAUACCGGAUGGCCCAGCAGCUCCUCGGGGCGGCUGGACAAGGUCGCUUCGGCCUCCCACCCAGCACGGGCCCGCCGCAGAUUAGCUUGUUGGUGAGGUAACGGCUCACCAAGGCGACGAUCCGUAGCUGGUCUGAGAGGACGAUCAGGCACACUGGGACUGAGACGCGGCACAGACUCCUACGGGAGGCAGCAGUGGGGAAGCUUGCGCAAUGGGCGAAAGCCUGACGCAGCGACGCAGCGUGGGGGAAGAAGGCUUUCGGGUUGUAAACCCCUUUCAGGAGGGACGAAGCCACUCGGGUGAAUAGCCCAGAGGGUGACGGUACCUCCAGAAGAAGCCCCGGCUAACUACGUGCCAGCCGCCGCUGUAACAC